rnacentral:rRNA from 1 species
UCGAAGGUGCGGGUAUCGAACAGGAUUAGAUACCCUGGUAGUCCGCACGGUAAACGAUGGAUGCCCGCUGUUUGCGAUAUACUGUGAGCGGCCAAGAGAAAUCGUUAAGCAUCCCACCUGGGGAGUACGCCGGCAACGGUGAAACUCAAAGGAAUUGACGGGGGCCCGCACAAGCGGAGGAACAUGUGGUUUAAUUCGAUGAUACGCGAGGAACCUUACCCGGGCUUGAACUGCCAGCGAACGAUUCAGAGAUGAUGAGGUCCUUCGGGACGCUGGUGGAGGUGCUGCAUGGUUGUCGUCAGCUCGUGCCGUGAGGUGUCGGCUUAAGUGCCAUAACGAGCGCAACCCUUUUCUUUAGUUGCCAUCAGGUAAUGCUGGGCACUCUGGAGAUACUGCCACCGUAAGGUGUGAGGAAGGUGGGGAUGACGUCAAAUCAGCACGGCCCUUACGUCCGGGGCUACACACGUGUUACAAUGGGUGGUACAGAGAGUCGGAUCAACGCAAGUUGGUUCUAAUCCUAAAAGCCAUCCUCAGUUCGGAUUGGGGUCUGCAACCCGACCCCAUGAAGCUGGAUUCGCUAGUAAUCGCGCAUCAGCCAUGGCGCGGUGAAUACGUUCCCGGGCCUUGUACACACCGCCCGUCAAGCCAUGAAAGCCGGGGGCGCUUGAAGUCCGUGACCGCAAGGAUCGGCCUAGAGCGAAACUGGUAAUUGGGGCUAAGUCGUAACAAGGUAGCCGUA